rnacentral:rRNA from 1 species
GAUGAACGCUGGCGGCGUGCCUAAUACAUGCAAGUCGAGCGAACAGACGAGAGUGCUUGCACUCUCUGACGUUAGCGGCGGACGGGUGAGUAACACGUGGGUAACCUACCUAUAAGACUGGGAUAACUUCGGGAAACCGGAGCUAAUACCGGAUAAUAUUUAGCUUCGCAUGAAGCAAUAGUGAAAGACGGUUCUGCUGUCACUUAUAGAUGGACCCGCGGUGUAUUAGCUAGUUGGUGAGGUAACGGCUCACCAAGGCAACGAUACAUAGCCGAACUGAGAGGGUGAUCGGCCACACUGGGACUGAGACACGGCCCAGACUCCUACGGGAGGCAGCAGUAGGGAAUCUUCCGCAAUGGACGAAAGUCUGACGGAGCAAUGCCGCGUGAGUGAAGAAGGUUUUCGGAUCGUAAAACUCUGUUGUAAGGGAAGAACAAGUACGUUAGUAACUGAACGUACCUUGACGGUACCUUACCAGAAAGCCACGGCUAACUACGUG